UUUUACCGAAAUUUUGAGAUUAACAUUAUUUUUAAACAAUAGCUUAUGGAUUCAAACUUCAUAGAUAUUUUAAUUGAAAAUUAUUUUAAUAUAACUUUUGGAAGAUAGAUGAACAUUCUUGGAAGUGUUCAUCAACUUUUUCAAGCAUCUAUAUUAUGAUUAAAGCCUAUACCAAAUUCAAAUAUGACGUCUCUUCAGAAAUGAGCCAUGAACACGAUAAUAUAGCUUUUCAAUCAAUGAUUGGAACCAAACCGAAAAUAAUUAAAGACAAAUUAUGAAAACCAAAACCUUUUC